CACGUAGGGCGCAAGCGUUGUCCGGAAUUAUUGGGCGUAAAGAGCUCGUAGGCGGUCUGUUGCGUCCGCUGUGAAAACUCGGGGCUUAACCCCGAGCCUGCAGUGGAUACGGGCAGACUAGAGGUAGGUAGGGGAGAAUGGAAUUCCCGGUGUAGCGGUGAAAUGCGCAGAUAUCGGGAAGAACAUCAGUGGCGAAGGCGGCCUGCUGGGCUGUUGCUGACGCUGAGGCGCGACAGCGUGGGGAGCAAACAGG
rnacentral:rRNA from 1 species